rnacentral:rRNA from 1 species
CCCUUAGAUGCUCUGGGCUGCACGCGCGCUACACUGAUGCACUCAACGAGUUUACGACCUUGCCCGAUAGGGUUGGGUAAUCUUUUUAAAAUGCAUCGUGAUGGGGAUAGAUUAUUGCAAUUAUUAAUCUUCAACGAGGAAUUCCUAGUAAGCGCGAGUCAUCAGCUCGUGCUGAUUACGUCCCUGCCCUUUGUACACACCGCCCGUCGCUCCUACCGAUUGAGUGCUCAGGUGAAUAAUUCGGACUGCAGCAAUGUUUGGAUCCCGAACGUUGCAGCGGAAAGUUUAGUGAACCUUAUCACUUAGAGGAAGGAGAAGUCGUAACA